rnacentral:rRNA from 1 species
CCUACGGGUGGCAGCAGUGGGGAAUUUUGGACAAUGGGGGCAACCCUGAUCCAGCCAUGCCGCGUGAGUGAAGAAGGCCUUCGGGUUGUAAAGCUCUUUCGGCCGGGAAGAAAUCGCUCAAGCUAAUACCUUGGGUGGAUGACGGUACCGGAAGAAGAAGCACCGGCUAACUACGUGCCAGCAGCCGCGGUAAUACGUAGGGUGCGAGCGUUCGUCGGAAUUACUGGGCGGGCACCAUGAGCAGGCGGCGACAUCCCCGGGCUUAACCUGGGAACUGCGUUUGUGACUGUGGUGCUCGAGUGCGGCAGAGGGGGGUGGAAUUCCACGUGUAGCAGUGAAAUGCGUAGAGAUGUGGAGGAACACCGAUGGCGAAGGCAGCCCCCUGGGUCGACACUGACGCUCAUGCACGAAAGCGUGGGGAGCAAACAGGAUUAGAUACCCCAGUAGUC